rnacentral:rRNA from 1 species
GAUGAACGCUGGCGGCGUGCCUAACACAUGCAAGUCGAACGAAGCACUUAAGAUCGUUUCUUCGGUUGACGACCUUUGUACCUUAGAGUCAGACGGGUGAGUAACGCGUGGGUAACCUGCCUCACAUAGGGGGAUAAAAGCUAGUAACGCAUGAUAACACUGCAUACAACGAUAAGAUCGCAUAAUCCCGAUGGCAUAGAUUUAUCGGUGUGCGACGGACGCGUAUCUGGUUAGCUAGUUGGAGACGUAACGGCCCACCAAGGCUUCGACCAGCAGCCGGGCUGAGAGGGUGAACGACCACACUGGGAGUGGGAGACGGCCCGAACUCCUGCGGAUGGCAGCAAGUGGGAAUAUGGCACAAUGGGGGAGACCAUGAUGCUGCCGCGCCGCGAGAGUGAGGAAGUAUAGCAGUAUGUAAGGCACUAUCAGAAGGGAAGAAAAUGACGGUACCUAACUAGAAAGCCCCGGCUAACUACGUG